UACGUAGGUGGCAAGCGUUGUCCGGAAUUAUUGGGCGUAAAGCGCGCGCAGGCGGCCUCUUAAGUCUGAUGUGAAAGCCCCCGGCUCAACCGGGGAGGGCCAUUGGAAACUGGGAGGCUUGAGUAUAGGAGAGAAGAGUGGAAUUCCACGUGUAGCGGUGAAAUGCGUAGAGAUGUGGAGGAACACCAGUGGCGAAGGCGACUCUUUGGCCUAUAACUGACGCUGAGGCGCGAAAGCGUGGGGAGAAAACAGG
rnacentral:rRNA from 1 species